rnacentral:piRNA from 1 species
UAGUAGAAAUGUCAGGGUUGGUGA